rnacentral:misc_RNA from 1 species
UUGAUCUCAAACCAUUGCUCUCAUUUUGAUAAAGUGAAUAUAAUAUUUUAUCGCGUGUAAAUAAAAAUUCCCCAGAAACCAAAUCAAGUUAUGGUAUGGAACAACAAUUGAAUUAGCAUAUUAUAGCCACAGGAAUGAGUUGUGGCAUCAAUUAUCUUCAAGUUGUUGCUCAAGGUGCUCGUUUUCUUUUUUGAUGGCGUCGAGAUCAGCUUGCAGUUUAUCUACAUUUAAGCUCCGGAAGGCCAUGGCUGUUAGUUUCUUUUCAUAUUCAGCCACUUCUCUUUGUAUUCUGUCACUCAUGAGGAUUUUCUCAGAAAUUUGUUCAAAGCACUCAUGUAUGCUAGUGAGAAGCCUAUAAGCUUGGCGUCCUACUGGGUCUUUCUUUGCUUCCCUGAAUAUCAUUUCAUCCAGAACAGCAUAGGUUCUAUCGAGGCAUUCUCGUAUAGAGUUGCUUUCUAACUGAAGCUCUCUGGUUUCUUUUAAAAUCCGCUCUAUGUCAGCAUCCUGUUUUCGACUGUUUUUCGUGAUCUCCUUUAUCCGCUCGAUAUAGGAUGUUCUAGUUGGCAGUUUAGGCAGCUUCCCAAGAUCCACACAAAGUUUCGAAUGUUCCUCCUCCCGCCUCCUAAGUUCAGACAAGAUGGACUGCUUUUCCGGCUCAACUUCCCUCAACUUUUGUAGCUUCUCUUGAGCCUCUGGUAUGUUUGCAUAAAGAGACUCCUCUAGGGUUCUCUUUUUCUCCUCCAGAGGCGUUUUGAAAGCAUCCCACUUUGACUCCAAUUCCACAAUAUUAAACUUUUUGGAAUCUACUUGCUUGUUAAGCAGCUCAAGGUAAAAUUCAAUAGGGUGGUGAUCAUCAAAUGCCAUUUCUGCUGCGUCCUUUAACAACUCCAACUCUUGUUCAAGUUUCUGUAAUUCUGAAUUCCUUGCAGCCACCUCCUUCAUGAGAACUUUUUCUUCAUCUUGUAAUAUUUCACUCUCACGUCUCAUCUUGGAUGACUGGUCCCUAGCAGGAUUCGCUUUCUGAAAUGCAUCUCUUCGUGAAUUCCCUUCUGCAGCCAAAAGGUUUCCAAUUCCAACAAAAGCCAAUUUGUCCUUGCCAAAAUUUGUUGUCCUUAACCCACUGAAGGACGUGUCUUCAACCUUGGAAUCAGACAACUUUGAUUCUACAUUAUGAAGACUAAGAUCCUUGAAUUUUUCCUGGUUAUGGUUAAGAUCUAACCCUCUGUCAUCAGCUUUCUCCAUCCAGUCCUCCAAAUUAUCAGUAGAGCCCUCCUCUUUUAUUUUCCUUCUGCAAUUUGCAUCCUUCAGAUCAGGGAAUUUAACAUCAACAGAUGACUCAGAAAGCCUUUCCACUAAGAAUCUCACCAACUUAAACAAGUCCUCUUCUGAUGGAUACAGGAACUGCCGUAAGCAAGACAUAUAAUCUUAUAAUAGGUCAUGUCUCCAAGGUAACCGAGUCUCUUAAUAGCUAAAGCCAUAUCCGUACAGAUCUUGAAUUUAUCGACCAAGGAGUCGGGGAAAGAUGAAGGCAACGACGCCGUUUCAUCGAGGAGGUUAAGAGACUGAGCACAGAUCGAGACCAAAGUUGCCGGCGUCAAGUCUUGGACCGAUGCAACGUUGCUUGGGAUUGAAACGCCGGCGUUCUGGAGCGACUUCAACAACACAUCCUCGUACUCCUCCAUAAGGACUCCUCUCUCUCGAUGGAAAGGUUCUCUCUUUUUGCGUUGUUUUCUGCGUUUUCGUCCUCCGCUAUGUUUCGACCGAUCAGUGAUUGAUUAGCUUAGCUAACACCCAUUCAAGACUCCAAAGUCGAAACUCUGUGACUCCGAUACGUAUUGGAGAGAAAUAGUAGCGUGCGACCGCGACAUGCUAUCGCUUGCUUUCCGUCCUGUUAUCGCUGGCCACGUGGCAACAGGAGCUGGAUUUCUUUUUUGGACUUUAGAAAUGUUCAGAAAUUGGAUUCUAAUAUUACUGUUUAGUAUACUAUUUUCCUUAUAUAUGUUAAAAUUC